UACGUAGGGACCAAGCGUUGUUCGGAUUUACUGGGCGUAAAGGGCGCGUAGGCGGCUUGACAAGUCACUUGUGAAAUCUCCGGGCUUAACUCGGAACGGCCAAGUGAAACUGUCAUGCUAGAGUGCAGAAGGGGCAAUCGGAAUUCUUGGUGUAGCGGUGAAAUGCGUAGAUAUCAGGAGGAACACCAACAGCGAAGGCAGCACUCUGGGCCGGUACUGACGCUGAGGAGCGAAAGCAUGGGGAGCGAACAGG
rnacentral:rRNA from 1 species